CGGCACCUGAGCACCACUGUCCCUUUGGUGUGUGGUGGAGGAACCCCAGGCCUUGUGGGACAGUUCCUUUCUGAGCUGGGAACAUUCCAAAAGCCAAUAGUAUGGGAAGGAAAUUCAUCCUGCUUCUGCCACAGAGAAGCACACAACCAGGUCUUAUCAUGGUGGCUCUGUCCCUAUUCUGCUUGUCAAGGAAGACUUCAAGUCAUGGCCAUUAAGGAUCCAUGGCUAACUCAUCCCCAUCCUCUGCACCCAGCAAUCCUGGGUGCUUCAUUUUAUUUUCUCCAGGUGUUUCUCUCUCGCCUCUGGUUUUAACUUUAUCUCCCUGUCACUGACAAGCAUAAAAUGUCCCCCAUGCUCCAUCUACUGCAGGAUACUGUGUUCAUUUGAGCUUUGGUUUGGGUAUUUUGCUUCUUUUUGCCAGUCCUGUUCCCCUUGUCACAGCUCUGUGGUGGCAAAACUUUUUUACCUGUUACCCAGUUACUCCAAUUUGAAGCCCCAUUUCUUUCUACUCAAUAAAUAUAUUUUCUGCUCUGG